GGCAACAUUGUGUAUGUGGCAGCAGAGCAGCCUGAGCGGUGCUAGGCAGCUUGCUGCAAUAGGCAUGCGGUUGCCCCUGGCAACCUCUCUUUAUAGGUGUGCGUUUUAUUGGUGUGCACGGAGUGUUGUGUAUCAGUGGGCA